rnacentral:rRNA from 1 species
UNUCUGGGGCAAGUCUGGUGCCAGCAGCCGCGGUAAUUCCAGCUCCAAUAGCGUAUAUUAAAGUUGUUGCAGUUAAAAAGCUCGUAGUUGAAUUUCGGGGUCUGUCCAUUGGUCGGGCUUUACGGUCCGUACUGGUGUGAUGGGUUCCUACCUUCUGAAUAACCAGCAUGCCAUUCAGUUGGUGCGUUGGGGAAGCAGAGCUAUUACCUUGAAAAAAUUAGAGUGCUUAAAGCAGGCUAGUGCUUGAAUAGAUUAGCAUGGAAUAAUAAAAUAGGACGGCAUGGUUCUAUUUUGUUGGUUUCUAGGAUCACCGUAAUGAUUAAUAGGGAUAGUUGGGGGCAUUAGUAUUCAAUUGUCAGAGGUGAAAUUCUUGGAUUUAUUGAAGACUAACUUCUGCGAAAGCAUUUGCCAAGGAUGUUUUCAUUAAUCAAGAACGAAAGUUAGGGGAUCGAAGACGAUCAGAUACCGUCGUAGUCUUAACCAUAAACUAUGCCGACUAGGGAUCGGACGGUGGUAA